rnacentral:ncRNA from 1 species
UCAUCAUAUCUUCUACCUUGGUGCUGGCUGGAGGCUGAAGAAAGCAGAGGCAGAAGCCAAGGACAAAGCUGCAAGAGCUCAAGCAGAAAGAUAGGUCUCUGAACUAACCAGGCUAAUUUGGAAGGCCGGUAGCAGCCCCCAGUGCACCGGGACCGGGUCUUCUCGGAGUUGGGUUGCUUGGGAAUGCAGCCCAAAGUGCGUGGUAAACUCAAUCUAAGGCUAAAUAUCGGCAGGAGACCGAUAGUCAACAAGUACCGUAACGGAAAGUUGAAAAGAACUUUGAAGAGAAAGUUCAAGGCCCGUGGACGGUGUGAGGCCCUUAGUGGCACCUUCUUUCAAGUUCUCUAUACCAAAGUUCUCUUUUCUUUGUGAAGGGCAGGGCCACCCUGGAAUGAGUUCACCCCAAGAGAGGGGCCCAUGCCUUGGAAAGUGUGGGGUUCCUGGGGCGACCGGCAAGCUCUUGCUGGCCCUUGAAAAUCUGGGGGAGAGGGUGUAAAUCUCAAGCCGGGCCAUAUCCAUAUCCGGAGCCGGUCUCCAAGGUGAACAGCCUCUUGCAUGUUGGAACGAUCGAAAGGGAGUUGGGUUCAGAUCCCCGAAUCCAGAGUGGCAGAGACGGGCGCUGCUAGGCUUCCAGUGCGGUAACGCAACCGAUCCCGGAGAAGCCCCAAGAGAGGUACCAGGGAGUGGGUCUUCCGUAGGCCACAUUUUAUAAUUGUGUUCAUAGAGUUCCUGGCUUUGUCUUGACAGAUUGAUCCCCAAGUAAUUUAUAUUAUCUACAGUUAUUUUAAAUUGAAUUUAUUUUUCUAUCUCUUGCUGCUUAACUUUGUUGCAAUAUAUAGAAAUGCUGAUGAUUUAUAUGAAUUUAUUUUGUAUUCUGAAACUUUACUAAAGUUGUUAUUUUUCUACUAAUUUUUAUUUGAUUCUCUAGAUUAACUAUACCAU